AUGGAGAGACAAUAAAAGUACUUUGAAGAAAAAUUAUUAUAAGACAAAAACAACCCUCGAUGAGAAAUUGCAAAAUGUCCCGCCGGGUAUGUUGAGGUACCAAUGGGAAGAUGCGGUUAGAUUUUGGCAUUCGAAGAAAGGCGAGGAUCGUGAACAAGUUGGAAAAAGCAGCAGGCAGAAACAAAAAUUCACCCACACAGCCGGGUCAAGAAGUUUUGUAUGUGUAGCUGAGGCGGAGGUAUUUUUAAUUUUUUUAAUAUUGUCAAAUAUGUAUAACUUUCUAUUAAAUAAUAUUUUUACUACUAUAUUGUAGGAACUGUCGUCCGGUCAAAAAGUUGGACGCCUUCAACUUUUUGAAAUUACACAUAGGAAGAAAGAUGGAUCUCCCAUGACUCCUGAAGCUGUUGAAAUAAUGG